CCGUGGACGUUUGAGAUUUGAGAGGAGCUGCUCCUAGUACGAGAGGACCGGAGUGGACGAACCUCUGGUGUUCCGGUUGUCACGCCAGUGGCAUUGCCGGGUAGCUAUGUUCGGACGGGAUAACCGCUGAAAGCAUCUAAGCGGGAAGCCUCCCUUAAGAUAAGAUCUCACUGGGACAUAAGUCCCCUGAAGAGCCGUUCGAGACUAGGACGUUGAUAGGUUGGGUGUGUAAGUGCUGUGAGGCAUUGAGCUAACCAAUACUAAUUGCUCGUGAGGCUUGACCAUAUAACACCAAAGUGGUUU
rnacentral:rRNA from 1 species